ACGUUCUUUGACAGUUCACGUUCAGGCUUCAGCGCCUUCGGUGCUCUUGUAACCGCCAACCGGCCUUCGGUGACCGAUGAUGUGCUGUGUUCACCUCCAGCUCGUUCGACUUUGCCCGACGAUAUGAACAGUAUAUCCUAAGACAAAGUAUGAUAUGGGUGUCACCUGAAUACAUAUUCUUCGGCGUUAGCGAAAUGGGCCAUCAAAUUUCCGGGAACUUUGCUCUGCAGUUUUCGACCUUAUUUGCGAAAUGCCUGUAGAUGUCAGCUGAAACAUUCCAUGACUAGAUUUAUGGUAACAAAGAAGUUACCAUUCAAACCAGGCGUAUUUCGACCAUUUGAAUAAUUGAAAAUAUACUGUCCAUCCAAGUCGUCACCCACAUCCAAGUUAUGAGUUUAGUGUAUAGGACCAAAACCUGUUUACUGUUCACCAGAAGUACUUUUGCUUCCAGCUUCGAUUUACGCAACGCCAAUUCUAAGGUCAUUGGUCUGUGUAUCCAUAAGUUGUCACAUAAGAAUAACUGGCUUGUGUGUAUUUUACGCGUGAUGUAUCUGCAUUCGUAUUCUUAAGUCUGGUUUUCCUUACAUGAGGUUCAAUGUUUGAAGAGUUUUCUCCAUAUAGUUUUAUACUUUGUGCUUUUUUAGUCAAGACUGAUGUGGUUUCAAACCGUCUUGCCUCAGCUUCCUUUCUCAUCCUUGUAGACGUAGUGUUACUACUACUUGCUCUGAUUUUCAGUCUUCAGCUCUCCAUUGCCAUCUUCCAGUAUACAAACAUUAUUGUAAGACUUCUUUCUCUGACUCUGCUCUCACUUACAUUGAUCCCUUUCUGUAUUUCCCAUUACCUUCUGUUACUUCUGUCGAAUGACCACCAUAUUCUUUGGAAGCUUGAAUUUCAGGUUAGGGGACCUUGUGGGCUUCUUUUUUACGAAUAGGGUUCAUCUUCUGAAUAUUAAUAAUAAUAAUAAUGAUAAUAAUAGAAAUAACAACUGGACAUAUGCAUACACAAACUCCUAGGGGCCUCCCUGUAAUUUUCUCUGUGACUGAUCUGGAUGGGCACACGUGAUUUCAAAUUCUGUGGCUGUUUCUACCACUAUAUUCCCGGAAGUUGUAACAUCAUGAUAAAGUUCCAGCACUUGUUAAGUAAGACCUUCUUGUGCCCUUUGCUGUUGUAAGGUCCCAUCUAAUUGCUUGUCCGGGUACUUGGUUGAAUGCUUUCUCAAGACAUACCACCGUAUCACUUCCUUUUCUAACAUGUAUCUUCUUAUGUAGUCAUUGAUUUUAAAAGAUAUUUAUUAAACAUUUUUUCCAUCACCCAUACUUAUCACACUGUGUUUCAGCAGUCUUAGUUCCUCGGACGAGUGGUUUUCGCGCUCGGCUACCAUCCCGGUGGCGCGAAGUUCGAUUCUCGGCUCAGCCAAGGCAGAAGCAGAGGAAUUUAUUUCUGGUGAUAGAAAUUCAUUUCUCGACAUAAUGGGGUUCGGAUCCCACAAUGAGCUGUAGGUCCCGUUGCUAGGUGACCAUUUGGUUCCUAGCCACGUAAAACUAUCUAAUCCUUCGGGCGAGCCCUAGGAGAGCUGUUAAUCAGCUCAGUGGUCUGGUAAAACUAAGAUAUACUCAACUUCAGCAGUCUUCCUCUUCCUUUCUAUUUUGAUCAGUGUAGUGAUGUUCUUUAACCUUUACCUGUAAGUCUUGUGAUUCUCUCACUCCUUUUAGUGCCACUUGGAUAAUACUGUCUUAAGGUACCUUACAAUGUUCCUCCUUGUGUCUGACUUGUUCACAUUUGUAUACUGUAUGAAUAACUUGAUCAUGAAAUAUAUAAAAAAAAAUUUCAUGGCAUUUGUAUACUGUAUAUGUAUUUCUUGGUGUAUAUUUGUAGGCAUUUAUUAAUUUUCAUUACGUCUAUUCCACGUACGACAUUAUGUCCUGAUAGUUAUGGUGU